rnacentral:rRNA from 1 species
AUACGUAGGUGGCAAGCGUUGUCCGGAUUUACUGGGUGUAAAGGGCGUGUAGGCGGAGAUGCAAGUCAGGAGUGAAAUCUAGGGGCUCAACCCCUAAACUGCUUUUGAAACUGUAUCCCUUGAGUAUCGGAGAGGCAGGCGGAAUUCCCAAUGUAGCGGGGAAAUGCGUAGAUAUUAGGAGGAACACCAGUGGCGAAGGCGGCCUGCUGGACGACAACUGACGCUGAGGCGCGAAAGCGUGGGGAGCAAACAGGAUUAGAUACCCAGGUAGUCCACGCUGUAAACGAUGAAUACUAGGUGUGGGGGGACUGACCCCCUCCGUGCCGCAGUUAACACAAUAAGUAUUCCACCUGGGGAGUACGAUCGCAAGAUUGAAACUCAAAGGAAUUGACGGGG